CGCCUGUUUACCAAAAACAUCGCCUCUUGUAAAUCAAAGCAUAAGAGGUCCCGCCUGCCCUGUGACUAUGGGUUUAACGGCCGCGGUAUUUUGACCGUGCGAAGGUAGCGCAAUCACUUGUCUUUUAAAUGAAGACCUGUAUGAAUGGCAUCACGAGGGCUUAGCUGUCUCCUCUCCCAAGUCAAUGAAAUUGAUCUGCCCGUGCAGAAGCGGGCAUAAGUACAUAAGACGAGAAGACCCUAUGGAGCUUUAGACACCAGGCAGAUCACGUCAAGCAACCUUGAACUAACAAGUAGAAACACAAUGACCCCUAGCCCAUAUGUCUUUGGUUGGGGCGACCGCGGGGGAAAACAAAGCCCCCAUGUGGACUGGGGGCACUGCCCCCACAACUAAGAGCUACAACUCCAAGCACCAGAAUUUCUGACCAAAAAUGAUCCGGCGAACGCCGAUCAACGGACCGAGUUACCCUAGGGAUAACAGCGCAAUCCUCUCCCAGAGUCCCUAUCGACGAGGGGGUUUACGACCUCGAUGUUGGAUCAGGACAUCCUAAUGGUGCAGCCGCUAUUAAGGGUUCGUUUGUUCAACGAUUAAAGUCCUACGUGAUCUGAGUUCAGACCGG
rnacentral:rRNA from 1 species